UACGAAGGGGGCUAGCGUUGCUCGGGAUCACUGGGCGUAACGGGUGCGUAGGCGGGUCUUUAAGUCAGGGGUGAAAUCCUGGAGCUCAACUCCAGAACUGCCUUUGAUACUGAAGAUCUUGAGUUCGGGAGAGGUGAGUGGAACUGUGAGUGUAGAGGUGAAAUUCGUAGAUAUUCGCAAGAACACCAGUGGCGAAGGCGGCUCACUGGCCCGAUACUGACGCUGAGGCACGAAAGCGUGGGGAGCAAACAGG
rnacentral:rRNA from 1 species